AUUUCCAGGGGCAAGGUUAACAUUUCCAGGGGCUAGGAUAACAUUUCCAGGGGCAAGGUUAACAUUUCCAGGGGCAAGGUUAACAUUUCCAGGGGCUAGGUUAACAUUUCCAUGGGCUAGGUUAACAUUUCCAGGGGCUAGGUUAACAUU